GUUCGCCCGCCCACGUCUAGUUGCCUCACCUCGGGCCGCCUGGCCCCGCCGCCGCGACGGCGGCGGAGGGGGGGCGGGGUGCGGGCGGGGUCCGGAGGGGGGGGUCGCCCCGCCGACGGUGGAGCCGCGGUUCGCUCUCUGAGGCCGUGGGACGGUGACUGCGUUGGGCGUGGACGCUCCUAGCUCGCUCCCUCCGCGGCUCCUGGGACCCCAAGAUGGCGGCGGCGCUGAGGCGGCUGCGGGCGCUGGGCCGGCGGCGGCGGCGGCCACUUUCACUCACUGAGAGGAGCGGAGCAGGGACACGGGGAGCCAUGGCGGGGGGGAGGAGAGGCGCCAUAGCCAGGCCAGAACAAUCGAGCCGCUACACGGGUGGCUUACCCCCACCCCGCCCACACUCACUGCUCGUCGCCUGCCCGUGGCCACCCGUAGUGCCGCUGCCGUCGGCCUCGCGCAGCUCGCACCCCGCCGCUGCCACCUGACGCCCCGUGCGAACCGGGGUUCGAGGGGAGACCCUGAUCCAUGCCAUCUGAGUACAGAUUAGUCGGGACUGGGACUGGCGAAGAUUGCCGAAAGGCGGCGGGGAGGAGGAGGAGGAUGUCAUCGCUACAGUGAGCAAGCAGAUCUCGCAGGAGAAAAUGUCGCGAGAGCUUUCCAGGCCCGCAACCGCCGAUGCAAGGUUACUUUUCCCGGAAGUAACGUCAAUCGAAACCGCCCGGGAUCCUGGGAUAUUUGUUCCCGCAGGCUAGAGGUGGGAAGGUGCAGCCAAGUUGAUAAGAUCUCUUUAGGGGAAGGAGAGGCUCGCAGCUGGUAUUUUGUUACUAGUUUCUGACCCCUUUGGAUGGGGUUGUAGAUUGUCGGGGAAGUGCCUGGUGUGUAGUUCGACUACUAUACAGUAAUUAGUUUGGGGCUCCCAUUUAGACUCUGGGAGCAAGAACGCUAUAGGUUGGGUAGGACAGCAUAGUUAGAUAAGAUGUCUACGUGAAGGUUGUGGGAUACAAGGACUUGGGAACACGCAGACCUGUUAUCGGAAAUGCCAGCCUGUUCUCACAUCCACACAGUGUGCCUCUGAAAAGCGAAUAAUUGCUUUUACCUGUGCCAAUUCUACAAUUUGAGUCCACUGCCACCCACAUUUACUAAACUUGGGGUCUCGCUAUGUUGCCCAGUCUACUGGGCUGGUUCCCAGUCUCCUGGCCUGAAGUGAUCCUCCUGCCUGGAAGGAUCACCUCAGGCCAAACGUCUCAGAGCAGUCCAUUAGACUGGUCAACAUAGCGAGACCCCGUCUCUACAAAAAAGACAACAUAAUAAAUGUAAUCGACCCAACUACCAGGAUGUGUGGUGAGAAUUGCCUAGGGUAAGGCCUAGGUGUAGAUAAGAAUUAGAACUUACUGAAAGUUAAAUAUGCUGUUAAUUCAGUUCCUUUGGGUCUCAUUCUUUAAUCCAUUUUAACCUGGCCCUUAGCAUUUAACUAAAAAGUACUUUAUUAAGGUCAUCAAGUAGCCUUCUUGUGCUGAGUUAACUGACCUUUAAAAAGUUAAAUUUGUGUCAGGGUGCAGUGCCACACGCCUGUAAUCCCAGCACUUUGGGAGGUCAGGUGGUCGAAUCACCUGAGGUCAGGAGCUCGAGACCAGCCUGACCAAUAUGGUGAAACCCCAUCUCUACUAAAAAUACAAAAAUUAGCCGGGCGUGGUGGCGGGUGCCUGUAGUCCAGCUACUUGGGAGCCUGAGGCAGGAGAAUCGCUUGAACCUGGGAGGCGGAGGUUACAGUGAACCGAGAUCGCACCAUUGCACUCCAGCCUGGGCAGCAAGAGCGAAAUUCCGUAUCAAAAAGAAAAAAAAAAAAAUCCAUCUCAAAAAGAAAAAAAAAAAGUUACAUUUGCAAGCCAAGCGCGGUAGCUCACGCGUGUAAUCCCGGCACUUUGGGAGGCUGAGGCGGGUGGAUCACUUGAGGUCGGGAUUUUGAGACCAGCCUGGCCAACAUGGUGAAACCUCGUCUCUACUGAAAAAAAAAAAAAAAAAAAAAAAAAAAGAUUAGCCGGGCGUGGUGGCGGGCACCUGUAAUCCCAGCUACUCGGGAGUCUGAGGCAGGAGAAUCUCUUGAACCUGGGAGGCAGGGGUUGCAGUGAGCCGAGACUGAGCCACUGUACUCCAACCUGGGACAGAGCGAGACUCUGCCUCAAGAAAAAAAACCAAGAGUUAAAUUUGCUUGAAUGCAUGGCCAGGCACGGUGGCUCACGCCUGUAAUCCCAGUACUUUGGGAGGCCUAGGCAGGCAGAUCACGAGGUCAGGAGUUUGAGACCAGCCUGACCAACCUUGAAACCCUGUCUCUACUAAAAAUACAAAAAUUAGCUGGGCAUGAUGGCGCGCGCCUGUAAUCCCCCCAGCUACUCAGGAGGCUGAGGCAGGGGAAUCGCUUGAACCCCGGAGGCGGAGGUUGCCGUGAGCGGAGAUCUAGCCAUUGCACUCCAGCCUGGGCAACAGAGUAAGACUGUCUUUAAAAAAAAAAAAUGCUUAAAGGCAAAAGUAUGAUAUAUAAUUGGCCCUUAUAUCUGCGGGUUCAAUAUCCGUGGAUUCAACCAACAGCAAAUCAAAAAUACUCAAAAAAUAGGCUGGGCUCAGUGGCAUACACCUGUAAUCCCCAGCACUUUGAGAGGCUGAGCCAAAGUGUCACUUGAAGCCAGGAGUUACAGAUUGGCUUGGGCAACAAAAGAAGACCCCAUUUCUACCAAAUGUUCAAAAAAUAAAUAAUAACUCAUUUCAAAAUACACUAUAAUUAUUUGCAUAACAUUUGCAUUGUAUUGGGUAUUAUAAGUAAUCUAGAGAUGAUUUAAAGUAUAUGGGAGGAUGUGUAGGUGAUAUGCAAAUGCUACACAAUUUUGUCACACACGCCUGUAAUCCCAGCACUUUGGGAGGCCGAGGCUGGCAGAUCACGAGGUCAGGAGAUCGAGACCAUCCUGUCUAUCGCGGUGAAACCCCGUCUCUACUAAAAAAAUACAAAAAAAUUAGCCAGGCGUGGUGGCAGGCGCCUGUAGUCCCAGCUACUCAGGAGGCUGAGGCAGGAGAAUGGCGUGAACCUGGGAGGCAGAGCUUGCAGUGAGCCGAGAUCACGCCACUGAACUCCAGCCUGGGCGACAGAGCGAGACUCCAUCUCAAACAAAAUUUUUUUAAAAAGUUUUAACCAGGAACUAAUGUGAUUGAUUUCUUACAUGAGGAGAAUGGAAGAAGGGAAGGAAUGGGAAUUAUGUAGCAGGAUUGAGGCAGAAAUGGCAAAGUUUCCAGCAUGGGUGACAACUGCAAACUCUGUUUCAAAAAAAAAAAAACAGAAACCACAGAAGGCAACCUGAAAGAACUCCUAAUGGCCAAGGCAACAAAGUAAAUCAUAAUAGCAUUGGAUCAUGAACCACAGAUGACCCAUAUAUAUUAAUUUUAAUAUUCAUGCCGAUAUAAGUAAAUAUCUGAUAUAAAUACUAAUAUAAAUAAAUGAGAAGAGAAGAAAGAAGAAAAGAAUGCUUUCUUAGAGUAGGAUUUUAGUAAAUGUGGAAGGAAUGAGGGAUAACAAAACUCACCAUUAGACAAACACUUCAGCAAUCACUGCUGCAGACAAGAUCCACUAAGGAAUGCUAAAUUAGUGGUUAAAAAUUUGCUAUGAAACAGAAUUUGCACAGAUUCAAAGUGUCUCACCCAAGAUACAUUUUAGCACAAAGGGAAAGACAGUAACUUUAUAGUGGUGAAACUCAGCAGAAACCACCUUAACCAACCAAUUAAGGUAAACAAUAAGACAUGUUUACGUCCUGAACCCCUUGAUAUUUUGCAUUGAGAAAGACCCAACAUAAUUUCUGUGGUAUUCUUACCAAAAUUCAUAACCACAUUCCAUUCAUGAAAAAACACCACACUAUUUCAAAUUCAGGGACUUACCACAAAAUAAUUGAUCAAUACUCUUCAAAACCAUCAAGGUCAUGAAAGACAAGGAAAGACCCAAGGACCCUUACAGACCUACACACCAAGGAGAAAUAACAAGUAAAUGCAAUGUGGAGUCCUAGGAGGGAACCUGGAACAGAAACUGGACAUCAGUGGAAAAACUUACGACACUUGUAUAAGUUUUUUAAUGUAGUUCGUAGUAUUGUAUCAAUGCUGACUUCCUCGUCUUAGAAAUUGUACUAUUGGCCAGGCGCAGUGGCUCACACCUGUAAUCCUAGCACUUUGGGAGGCCGAGGUGGGCAGAUCACCUGAGGUUGGGAGUUCAAGACCAGCCUGACCAACAUGGAGAAACCCUGUCUCUACUAAAAAUACAAAAUUAGCUGGGCAUGGUGGCGCAUGCCUGUAAUCCCAGCUACUCGAGAGGCUGAGGCAGGAGAAUCGCUUGAACCCGGGAGGCAGAGGUUGCAGUGAGCUGAGAUCGUGCCACUGCGUUCCAGCCUGGGCAUAAAGAGUGAAACUCCAUGUCAAAAAAAAAAAAAGAAAAGAAAGAAAGAAAUUGUACUGUUGUGGCCAGGCACGGUGGCUCAUGCUUAUAAUCCUAGCACUUUGGGUGGCCAUGGUCGGUGGAUCACCUGAGAUCAGGAGUUCAAGACCAGCCUGGCCAACAUGAUGAAAUCCCGUCUCUACUAAAAAUACAAAAAAUGAGCCAGGCGUGGUGGCACAUGCCUGUAAUCCCAGAUACUCGGGAGGCUGAGGCAG
rnacentral:lncRNA from 1 species